UAACCCUGUUCGUGAGAGCAGGCUGAGCGUGCAGAAGUCAGCCGAUGUCAUAGUACACAGCUUGUCGCGAGGGCUGUGGAAGGAC
rfam:Paenibacillus sp. oral taxon 786 str. D14 cont1.268, whole genome shotgun sequence.